rnacentral:rRNA from 1 species
CAAUAGCGUAUAUUUAAGUUGCUGCAGUUAAAAAGCUCGUAGUUGGAUUUCGGGUGGGCUUCACCGGUCCGCCUUUGGUGAGUACUGGUGCGGCCCAUCUUGUUGCUGGGGACGGGCUCCUGGGCUUCAUUGUCCGGGACUCGGAGUCAGCGAAGUUACUUUGAGUAAAUUAGAGUGUUCAAAGCAGGCCUACGCUCUGAAUACAAUAGCAUGGGAUAACAUGAUAGGACUCUGGCCUAUCUUGUUGGUCUGUAGGACCGGAGUAAUGAUUAAGAGGGACAGUCGGGGGCAUUCGUAUUUCAUUGUCAGAGGUGAAAUUCUUGGAUUUAUGAAAGACGAACUUCUGCGAAAGCAUUUGCCAAGGAUGUUUUCAUUGA